UGGGACUCAAGACCCUCCCUUUCAGCUCUCUGCACACAGACUGGCUCAAGAUGAGGAGAAAAGACAUUUUCCCUGCAUUCUAUUUGUUUCAGCUCCUUCUACUUUUAGGAAAUGCUAUAACUUCCAACGGUAACACCACAGCUGUCACAUCCACAUCGGCCUCGACUUCCAGUGGUGUCACCACAAGCACCCAGUCCACCUCAACUUCCAGUAAGGUCUCCACAACUGUCUCGUCUACACCAACCUCAACUUCUAGCAGCACCACGACAGCCACCCAGCCCACCUCAACUUCCAGUAAGGUCUCCACAACUGUCUCGUCUACACCAACCUCAACUUCCAGCAGCACCAUGACAGCCACCCAGUCCACCUCCACUUCCAGCGGGCUCUCCACAACUGUUCCCCCAGAAACCACCACACCUGGAAGCACUGUGACAGGAUCAGCUCCAACUUCCAACGUCACCAGCACAAACGUCACCACUCCAGGACACAGGGGAUACCUGGGGCCGUGGGCAGUGGCUCUCAUCACCCUGGCCUCUGUGGCGAUGGCUCUGAUUCUCUCCACGGGGCUCGUCCUUUCUUGCAAAAACUCUUCAUGCCUAAGAAAUCGCUUCGAUGUUGAGCUUUACCGCCCCCACGACUCCAGCUUGGGUUCACGCCCUCUCGGUUACCGUGGAGUCGCAAGUAUGCUGAGUGCAGCCGUGAGCGAGUCCAGAGACCAGUGUCCUCCUGUGGUCGUGGAGCUGACUG